GCGGCGCGUAGGCACAGGCUAUUGGUACUCUUUAAUAACAUCGUUCACUCGGGUGUUGCGUUGUAAUUAAUAUUAUUAUUGUGUGUGUGUGUUCUCCACAAAUUAUUUCCUUAGACUUCAAAGUAAAGGCCUUUUUGUCUAUAUUAAUAUGUUGUAUAAAUUCCGGCUUCCAAGGAUGAACAACUCGGAAAUCUUUGCCGCCGUCAUCAGUCAAAUUCGAAAGACUACUGAAAAAAACACUGCAAACAAUAUUGCUGAAUUGAGACGGUGUAAUGCGACAAAUUGAAGCUAUCGAACAACGCAUAUCUGAUUGGGAAGAUGUGCAAAGUAAUGAAGAGAAUGAUAUUAUUGUUGGAAACACACGAAAAAGACGAAAUAGCAAAGUAUCAAAAUCAUCAAAACGAAUAAAAGCUGAGCCCGAAAAUUCCUAGCCUCCUGCAACUCCUUCAAAUGAUAUUUAUAAUACAUAAGAUAUUAACGACUUCUCGUCCGUUGAAAAUCGAAUUUAU